AUUUUUCCAUAACCUUAUGGAGAAAAAGGACUUUGAAGCAUGGCUUGAUAACAUUUCUAUUACAUUUCUUUCUCUGACGGACUUGCAGAAAAAUGAAACUCUGGAUCACCUGAUUAGCUUGAGUGGAGCAGUCCAGCUCAGGCACCUCUCCAAUAAUCUAGAGAUUCUCCUCAAGAGGGACUUCCUCAAACUUCUUCCAUUGGAACUUAGUUUUUAUCUGUUAAAAUGGCUUGAUCCACAGACCUUACUCACAUGUUGCCUCGUCUCUAAGCAGUGGAAUAAGGUUAUAAGUGCCUGUACAGAGGUGUGGCAGACUGCAUGUAAGAAUUUGGGUUGGCAAAUAGAUGACUCUGUUCAGGAUCCUCUACAUUGGAAGAAGGUUUACCUAAAGGCUAUUUUAAGGAUGAAGCAACUGAAGGACCACGAAGCCUUUGAGACAUCUUCUUUAAUUGGACACAGUGCCAGAGUAUAUGCACUUUACUAUAAGGAUGGACUUCUGUGUACAGGAUCAGAUGACUUGUCUGCGAAACUGUGGGAUGUAAGCACAGGUCAGUGCAUAUAUGGUAUCCAGACACACACUUGUGCUGCAGUGAAGUUUGAUGAACAAAAGCUUGUAACAGGAUCUUUUGAUAACACAGUAGCCUGUUGGGAAUGGAGCUCUGGGGCAAAGACACAGCAUUUUAGAGGACAUACUGGUGCAGUUUUUAGUGUGGAUUACAAUGAUGAACUUGAUAUUCUGGUCAGUGGCUCUGCAGACUUCACUGUGAAAGUAUGGGCCUUAUCAACAGGAACGUGCCUGAAUACCCUUACUGGACACACAGAAUGGGUCACUAAGGUAGUUUUGCAGAAGUGCAAAGUCAAAUCUCUUAUGCAUAGUCCUGGGGAUUAUAUUCUUCUAAGUGCAGAUAAGUACGAAAUCAAGAUUUGGCCUAUUGGAAGGGAAAUAAACUGCAAGUGCUUAAAAACACUGUCUGUUUCUGAAGAUCGCAGCAUCUCCCUACAGCCCAGACUGCACUUUGAUGGUAAAUACAUAGUGUGCAGUUCAGCACUAGGAUUAUACCAGUGGGACUUUGCCAGCUAUGAUAUUCUCAGGGUUAUCAAACCUCCUGACUUCUCAAAUGUGUCCUUGCUGGGCUUUGGAGAGAUAUUUGCUCUACUGUUUGAUAGCAGAUACCUGUAUAUAAUGGACUUGAGGACAGAAAAACUGAUAAGCCGCUGGCCUCUACCAGAGUAUAGAAAGUCAAAGAGAGGUUCAAGCUUUUUGGCUGGUGAAAUGUCUUGGUUAAACGGACUAAAUGGCCAAAAUGAUAUGGGCUUGGUUUUUGCCACCAGUAUGCCAGACCAUAGUAUCCAUUUGGUGUUAUGGAAGGAACAUGGCUGACAAGCUCACAUAUGCAGAAUCUUCAGGAAUAUAUGGACUAUCAGCAGUGUGUCCAUAAAAUGAGACUUUGCAUGAACCAAAGUUGCACACCUAACGGUAUCAUCAUGCAAUGCACAAUCAUUUACUUUUAUUUGGGCAUUUGGGAAUGGGUUGUUUUGGACAUAAUGCAAUACAGCAUGCUAACAGUAUUCACCACAAAAUUUUGUCUGUACUCAUGUUUAAGCAUACCUGUUUGGGCUCUGAAGCAUAGCUUGUAACUUUUAAACCAUUCAAAUCCACCAUCGUCUGAAAUGAAGUAGUGCUUGACCUGACUUCUGACCUAUUUUUUGUUGUUGAAACAGAAGGUGGAGCUACUAUUUUAGAACCGUAGGCUUUUGUACAUGUAACAGCAAAUACUGGUUACAGUGCAUGGCUGCUUAACUCAAAUGAGAAGACAGCAAACCCUUUCUCUCUCCAGUAUCAUUCUCUUCAAAAUGUUUUUUCUUAUGAUAGCUUUAAAUACUUAGCCUUUGAAGUAGAAGAAUCAAAUGAGUCCUUUAACUAGAAUCAGAUGCUAACAAUAAUAAUUUGUUUAAGUUCAGGAACAUGUCAAUAUGAACUCUCCUCAGCGAGAAUGAGCCAACUUUUCAUCUAUUUGAUAGAGCUUGCCAUCGCAAUUAACAUUAGAGAACCUCUGACAGUAUUCAUCAUAUUUGCUGAUGGUAACUCAGAAUGGCUUGAUCAGUAUUUUGUAGUCCAUAUUUCCUAUAGUUUGUGUGAGAACGUAACUUAGUUCACAGGUAGGUAGAAAUAUAAUGAAUGGGAAGAUGAUGUUCAAUCUCUACAGCAAGAGUCACUCUCUUCAAUUAAAUGAUGUCUAGCAGCCAUUCACUUUUUCCAAAAGUUGCAGUUAAUAUAAUCAUGCACUUAAAGUACUUGCUACAUCUAGAUUUGGAAAGCAGGGGCAAGUAACAGUGAGAAGGCCACACCUCGGGGGGGAGAAAUCAGAAGUCUGAAGAAAAGCAUAGGAGUAGAAAAAGGUCUUUUGCUUUUCUCAUCGUAGGAGACCUGAUGUACACAAGUUAACUAUUGAGUAGCAAAUACCUAUCCACAUACUUUUGUGGUAUUUGACAUGUACUUAAAAGCUGUAUCUAUGACAUCACAUGCUUUAGAAAUGCUUUAGGUUGGUUUCCCCUCCUCCCUUACAAUAAAAUUUCCCCUUAAUGUCUA